CUCCAAGGAACAUUCAACGCUGUCGGUGAGUUUGGGAUUUGGAAAAAAACCACCGACCGUUGACUGUACCUUGGGA
rfam:Erinaceus europaeus unplaced genomic scaffold scaffold00042, whole genome shotgun sequence